rnacentral:rRNA from 1 species
GACGAACGCUGGCGGCGUGCUUAACACAUGCAAGUCGAACGGAAAGGCCCUGCUUUUGUGGGGUGCUCGAGUGGCGAACGGGUGAGUAACACGUGAGUAACCUGCCCUUGACUUUGGGAUAACUUCAGGAAACUUGGGCUAAUACCGGAUAGGAGCUCCUGCUGCAUGGUGGGGGUUGGAAAGUUUCGGCGGUUGGGGAUGGACUCGCGGCGUAUCAGCUUGUUGGUGGGGUAGUGGCUUACCGAGGCUUUGACGGGUAGCCGGCCUGAGAGGGUGACCGGCCACAUUGGGACUGAGAUACGGCACAGACUCCUACGGGAGGCAGCAGUGGGGAAUAUUGCACAAUGGGCGGAAGCCUGAUGCAGCAACGCCGCGUGCGGGGUGACGGCCUUCGGGUUGUAAACCGCUUUCGCCUGUGACGAAGCGUGAGUGACGGUAAUGGGUAAAGAAGCACCGGCUAACUACGUG